rnacentral:rRNA from 1 species
CUAAUACAUGCAAGUCGUACGGGAAUCAUCUUUCGGGAUGGAUGAGAGUGGCGCACGGGUGCGUAACGCGUAUGCAACCUACCUGUUAAGGGAGAUAGCCCGGGGAAACCGGAUUAAUAUUCCAUAGAAUUGAUUUACUGCAUGGUAGAUUGAUUAAAGCCUUCGGGUGGUAACAGACGGGCAUGCGUAGGAUUAGCUAGUUGGUGGAGUAACGGCCCACCAAGGCGAUGAUCCUUAGGGGUUCUGAGAGGAAGGUCCCCCACACUGGCACUGAGAUACGGGCCAGACUCCUACGGGAGGCAGCAGUAGGGAAUAUUGGUCAAUGGGCGAGAGCCUGAACCAGCCAUGCCGCGUGCAGGAAGACGGCGUUCUGCGUUGUAAACUGCCUUUAUCUGGGAAGAAAAAGCCCUUGCGAGGGAAAUUGCCGGUACCAGAGGAAUAAGCACCGGCUAACUCCGUGCCAGCAGCCGCGGUAAUACGGAGGGUGCAAGCGUUGUCCGUGAUUUAUUGGGGUUUAAAGUGGUGCCGUAGUGCGGCCCGAAAUUAAGUCCAGCGGCUGAAAAGUUUCCCGUGCUCAACCCGGGAGAACUGCCCGUUGAUACUUGAUUGGCUUGAAGUUAUGGCAGGGGUACAUGGAAUUUAUGGUGUAGCGGUGAAAUGCAUAGAUACCAUAAGGAACACCGAUAGCGAAGGCAUUGUACUGGCCAUAAACUGACGCUGAGGCACGAAAGCGUGGGUAGCGAACAGGAUUAGAUACCCUGGUAGUCCACGCCGUAAACGAUGAUCACUCGCUUUACAUUACGUAGUAAUUUGAGGCCAAGCGAAAGCGUUAAGUGAUCCACCUGGGGAGUACGCCGGCAACGGUGAAACUCAAAGGAAUUGACGGGGGUCCGCACAAACGGUGGAGCAUGUGGUUUAAUUCGAUGAUACGCGAGGAACCUUACCCGGGCUAGAAUGUGAAGGAAUGAUACAGAGAUGUGUCAGUCAGCAAUGACCUGAAACAAGGUGCUGCAUGGCUGUCGUCAGCUCGUG